rnacentral:lncRNA from 13 species
GUGAUCCUCCCACCUUGGCCUCCCAACGUGCUGGGAUUACAGGUUUAAGCCACUGUGCCUGGCCUUAAAAAUUGUUAACUAUUAAAAAUUACUAUAUAAGCUGGGUGCGGUGGCUCAUACCUACAUUUCCUACUACUAGGGAGGCUAAGGUGGAAGGAUCCCUUGAGCUCAGGAGUAUGAGGCUGCAGUGAGCGACGAUUGUGACCCUGCACCCCCAUUGCACUCCAGCCUGGGCAACAGAGUGAGACUUCAUCUUUAAAAAACCCACUAUAUAAGUAUAUUAAAUUAAUAAUUAACAUAGAACUUAAAAGUGAAUUAAAAAUAAGAAUAAUGCUCUUAAAUUGAUUAUUUUUUUAUGUCCUAAAGAUUUGCUUAGUGCAUUCAACAAUAACAUGAUCUGGAGAAAGGCCCCAUUUUGGAUUCUACAAGGUCUGAAUUAUAGUCUCUUCCUUGCCACUAACGAGCUGACUUUGAGAAAAUCCUCUUCACACUUUCAUCAUCUGUCAAAAAGAGAUAAUAAUUCUGAUUACUUCCAUAAUAGCAUUUCUAGUGAUAGACGUGGAGACUAGGAGAGAAUAUACCAAAUUGCAAUGUAUCCAAGUACUCUGAGAGACCAACUCCUACAGAUCCAGGAAGGGUGCCAUUCCCUCUAAGGACACUACUGAUAAGAUCUGGCCCACCCAGGAUCAUCUUUCUAUCUUCAAGUGAACUGAUUUGGGACAUUAUUCACAUCUACAAAAUCCCUUCACAGGAGCACCUAAGUUUCGUGUUUGAACAGCUGGAAAAAGGUAUGUGUAGGCCAGGGUGCAAAAUCUUGGGAGUCAUCUUAUACUUCUGUCCACCACACUUGCUGUGCCCAGCAUUGAAAACAUGUGGGUUAGUGAGUUUUACCUAUUAUAAAACUUUUCAACUCAGAAUGUAUAUUUUCAAAGAUUUGGAAAGAACAUUUAAACAUAAAUGAAAACAUUUUCCAUAAGCUCAUGCAGCCAGAAUAUACCAUUUUAGUAGACUCCUGAUUUAUUUAUGAAAAACCUUCGUGUGUUUAUUUAUUAGAACAAAGAGUUCAUAAAAGAGUUAACCAAAUGUGCAAUAAAAGCAAUAGAGAUGAAUGGUAAGAUGAAUAA